rnacentral:misc_RNA from 1 species
AACAAGGCGUACCUGCGGACCUGCGGAGGGAUCAUUACAAGUGACCCCGGUCUAACCACCGGGAUGUUCAUAACCCUUUGUUGUCCGACUCUGUUGCCUCCGGGGCGACCCUGCCUUCGGGCGGGGGCUCCGGGUGGACACUUCAAACUCUUGCGUAACUUUGCAGUCUGAGUAAACUUAAUUAAUAAAUUAAAACUUUUAACAAUGGAUCU